AGAGUUUGAUCCUGGCUCAGAAUCAACGCUGGCGGCGUGCCUAACACAUGCAAGUCGAACGAGAAAGUGGUAGCAAUACCAUGAGUAAAGUGGCGCACGGGUGAGUAACACGUGACUAACCUACCCUGGAGUGGGGGAUAACUGAGGGAAACCUUAGCUAAUACCGCAUAAUACCCACGGGUCAAAGGAGCAAUUCGCUUCAGGAGGGGGUCGCGGCCGAUUAGUUAGUUGGCGGGGUAAUGGCCCACCAAGACGAUGAUCGGUAUCCGGCCUGAGAGGGCGCACGGACACACUGGAACUGAAACACGGUCCAGACUCCUACGGGAGGCAGCAGUGGGGAAUUUUGCGCAAUGGGGGAAACCCUGACGCAGCAACGCCGCGUGGAGGAUGAAGUCCUUCGGGACGUAAACUCCUUUCGAUCGGGACGAUUAUGACGGUACCGGAAGAAGAAGCCCCGGCUAACUUCGUGCCAGCAGCCGCGGUAAUACGAGGGGGGCGAGCGUUGUUCGGAAUUAUUGGGCGUAAAGGGUGCGUAGGCGGUUUGGUAAGUCUCUUGUGAAAUCUAUGGGCUCAACUCAUAGUCUGCAAGGGAAACUGCCGGGCUUGAGUGUGGGAGAGGUGAGUGGAAUUUCCGGUGUAGCGGUGAAAUGCGUAGAUAUCGGAAGGAACACCUGUGGCGAAAGCGGCUCACUGGACCACAACUGACGCUGAUGCACGAAAGCUAGGGGAGCAAACAGGAUUAGAUACCCUAGUAGUCC
rnacentral:rRNA from 1 species